rnacentral:rRNA from 1 species
GAUGAACGCUAGCGGCAGGCUUAAUACAUGCAAGUCGUGGGGCAGCAGGGGUAGCAAUACCCGCUGGCGACCGGCAAACGGGUGCGGAACACGUACGCAACCUUCCUUUAACUGGAGAAUAGCCCCUCGAAAGAGGGAUUAAUACUCCGUAACAUAUUGACCCCGCAUGGGGUUAAUAUUAUAGUCUUCGGGCGGUUAAAGAUGGGCGUGCGCCUGAUUAGAUAGUUGGUGAGGUAACGGCUCACCAAGUCUGCGAUCAGUAACUGGUGUGAGAGCACGACCAGUCACACGGGCACUGAGACACGGGCCCGACUCCUACGGGAGGCAGCAGUAAGG